UGGGGAAUUUUGGACAAUGGGCGAAAGCCUGAUCCAGCAAUGCCGCGUGUGUGAAGAAGGCCUUCGGGUUGUAAAGCACUUUUGUCCGGAAAGAAAUCCUUGGCUCUAAUACAGUCGGGGGAUGACGGUACCGGAAGAAUAAGCACCGGCUAACUACGUGCCAGCAGCCGCGGUAAUACGUAGGGUGCAAGCGUUAAUCGGAAUUACUGGGCGUAAAGCGUGCGCAGGCGGUUUGCUAAGACCGAUGUGAAAUCCCCGGGCUCAACCUGGGAACUGCAUUGGUGACUGGCAGGCUAGAGUAUGGCAGAGGGGGGUAGAAUUCCACGUNUAGCAGUGAAAUGCGUAGAGAUGUGGAGGAAUACCGAUGGCGAAGGCAGCCCCCUGGGCCAAUACUGACGCUCAUGCACGAAAGCGUGGGGAGCAAACAGGAUUAGAUACCCUGGUAGUCCACGCCCUAAACGAUGUCAACUAGUUGUUGGGGAUUCAUUUCCUUAGUAACGUAGCUAACGCGUGAAGUUGACCGCCUGGGGAGUACGGUCGCAAGAUUAAAACUCAAAUGAAUUGACGGGGUCAUAGCUGUUUCCU
rnacentral:rRNA from 1 species